GACGGAGGGUGCUAGCGUUGUUCGGAAUGACUGGGCGUAAAGGGCGCGUAGGCGGCUCGUGAAGUCGGGUGUGAAAGCCCGGGGCUCAACCCCGGAACGGCAUCCGAUACUGGAUGGCUUGAGUCCGGGAGAGGGAUGCGGAAUUCCAGGUGUAGCGGUGAAAUGCGUAGAUAUCUGGAGGAACACCGGUGGCGAAGGCGGCAUCCUGGACCGGCAUUGACGCUGAGGAGCGAAAGCCAGGGGAGCAAACGGG
rnacentral:rRNA from 1 species